CCUACGGGAGGCAGCAGUGGGGGAUAUUGCACAAUGGGGGAAACCCUGAUGCAGCGACGCCGCGUGAGUGAAGAAGUAUUUCGGUAUGUAAAGCUCUAUCAGCAGGGAAGAAAAUGACAGUACCUGACCAAGAAGCCCCGGCUAACUACGUGCCAGCAGCCGCGAGAAUACGUAGGGGGCAAGCGUUAUCCGGAUUUAAUGGGUGUAAAGCGAGCGUAGACGGUCAUGUAAGUAUGGAGUGAAAGCCAGGGGGCGAAACCCCGUACUGCUAUGGAAACUGGAUAACUGGAGUACAAGAGAGGCAGGCGGAAUUCCAGGUGUAGCGGUAAAAUGCGUAGAGAUCAGGAGGAACACCGGUGGCGAAGGCGGCCUGCUGGACUGAAACUGACGUUGAGGCUCGAAAGCGUGGGGAGCAAACAGGAUUAGAUACCCGAGUAGUC
rnacentral:rRNA from 1 species